rnacentral:rRNA from 1 species
GGGUUGUGAGGUUAAGCGACUAAGCGUACACGGUGGAUGCCCUGGCAGUCAGAGGCGAUGAAGGACGUGCUAAUCUGCGAAAAGCGCCGGCGAGGUGAUAUGAACCUUUGACCCGGCGAUGUCCGAAUGGGGAAACCCAGUGUGUUCCGACACACUAUCGUUAACUGAAUACAUAGGUUAACGAGGCGAACCGGGGGAACUGAAACAUCUAAGUACCCCGAGGAAAAGAAAUCAACCGAGAUUCCCCCAGUAGCGGCGAGCGAACGGGGAGCAGCCCAGAGUCUGAAUCAGCUUGUGUGUUAGUGGAAGCGUCUGGAAAGUCGCACGGUACAGGGUGACAGUCCCGUACACGAAAAUGCACAGGUUGUGAACUCGAAGAGUAGGGCGGGACACGUGGUAUCCUGUCUGAAUAUGGGGGGACCAUCCUCCAAGGCUAAAUACUCCUGACUGACCGAUAGUGAACCAGUACCGUGAGGGAAAGGCGAAAAGAACCCCGGCGAGGGGAGUGAAAAAGAACCUGAAACCGUGUACGUACAAGCAGUGGGAGCACCUUCGUGGUGUGACUGCGUACCUUUGUAUAAUGGGUCAGCGACUUAUAUUCUGUAGCAAGGUUAACCGUAUAGGGGAGCCGAAGGGAAACCGAGUCUUAACUGGGCGUUAAGUUGCAGGGUAUAGACCCGAAACCCGGUGAUCAGCCAUGGGCAGGUUGAAGGUUGGGUAACACUAACUGGAGGACCGAACCGACUAAUGUUGAAAAAUUAGCGGAUGACUUGUGGCUGGGGUGAAAGGCCAAUCAAACCGGGAGAUAGCUGGUUCUCCCCGAAAGCUAUUUAGGUAGCGCCUCGUGAACUCAUCUUCGGGGUAGAGCACUGUUUCGGCUAGGGGCCAUCCCGGCUUACCAACCCGAUGCAAACUACGAAUACCGAAGAAUGUUAUCACGGGAGACACACGGCGGGUGCUAACGUCCGUCGUGAAGAGGGAAACAACCCAGACCGCCAGCUAAGGUCCCAAAGUCAUGGUUAAGUGGGAAACGAUGUGGGAAGGCACAGACAGCCAGGAUGUUGGCUUAGAAGCAGCCAUCAUUUAAAGAAAGCGUAAUAGCUCACUGGUCGAGUCGGCCUGCGCGGAAGAUGUAACGGGGCUAAACCAUGCACCGAAGCUGCGGCAGCGACACUUAUGUGUUGUUGGGUAGGGGAGCGUUCUGUAAGCCGUUGAAGGUGUGCUGUGAGGCAUGCUGGAGGUAUCAGAAGUGCGAAUGCUGACAUAAGUAACGAUAAAGCGGGUGAAAAGCCCGCUCGCCGGAAGACCAAGGGUUCCUGUCCAACGUUAAUCGGGGCAGGGUGAGUCGACCCCUAAGGCGAGGCCGAAAGGCGUAGUCGAUGGGAAACAGGUUAAUAUUCCUGUACUUGGUGUUACUGCGAAGGGGGGGACGGAGAAGGCUAUGUUAGCCGGGCGACGGUUGUCCCGGUUUAAGCAUGUAGGCGGAGGUUCCAGGUAAAUCCGGUACCUUAUUAACGCUGAGGUGUGAUGACGAGGCACUACGGUGCUGAAGUAACAAAUGCCCUGCUUCCAGGAAAAGCCUCUAAGCAUCAGGUAACAUCAAAUCGUACCCCAAACCGACACAGGUGGUCAGGUAGAGAAUACCAAGGCGCUUGAGAGAACUCGGGUGAAGGAACUAGGCAAAAUGGUGCCGUAACUUCGGGAGAAGGCACGCUGAUAUGUAGGUGAAGCCCCUGCGGGUGGAGCUGAAAUCAGUCGAAGAUACCAGCUGGCUGCAACUGUUUAUUAAAAACACAGCACUGUGCAAACACGAAAGUGGACGUAUACGGUGUGACGCCUGCCCGGUGCCGGAAGGUUAAUUGAUGGGGUUAGCGGUAACGCGAAGCUCUUGAUCGAAGCCCCGGUAAACGGCGGCCGUAACUAUAACGGUCCUAAGGUAGCGAAAUUCCUUGUCGGGUAAGUUCCGACCUGCACGAAUGGCGUAAUGAUGGCCAGGCUGUCUCCACCCGAGACUCAGUGAAAUUGAACUCGCUGUGAAGAUGCAGUGUACCCGCGGCAAGACGGAAAGACCCCGUGAACCUUUACUAUAGCUUGACACUGAACACUGGUCCUUGAUGUGUAGGAUAGGUGGGAGGCUUUGAAGUGUGGACGCCAGUCUGCAUGGAGCCGUCCUUGAAAUACCACCCUUUAAUGGCUGGUGUUCUAACGUAGACCCGUAAUCCGGGUUGCGGACAGUGUCUGGUGGGUAGUUUGACUGGGGCGGUCUCCUCCCAAAGAGUAACGGAGGAGCACGAAGGUUAGCUAAUCUGGUCGGACAUCAGGAGGUUAGUGCAAUGGCAUAAGCUAGCUUGACUGCGAGAGUGACGGCUCGAGCAGGUGCGAAAGCAGGUCAUAGUGAUCCGGUGGUUCUGAAUGGAAGGGCCAUCGCUCAACGGAUAAAAGGUACUCCGGGGAUAACAGGCUGAUACCGCCCAAGAGUUCAUAUCGACGGCGGUGUUUGGCACCUCGAUGUCGGCUCAUCACAUCCUGGGGCUGAAGUAGGUCCCAAGGGUAUGGCUGUUCGCCAUUUAAAGUGGUACGCGAGCUGGGUUUAGAACGUCGUGAGACAGUUCGGUCCCCUAUCUGCCGUGGGCGCUGGAGAAUUGAGGGGGGCUGCUCCUAGUACGAGAGGACCGGAGUGGACGCAUCACUGGUGUUCGGGUUGUCAUGCCAAUGGCACUGCCCGGUAGCUAAAUGCGGAAAAGAUAAGUGCUGAAAGCAUCUAAGCACGAAACUUGCCCCGAGAUGAGUUCUCCCUGAGACUUUAAGUCUCCUGAAGGAACGUUGAAGACGACGACGUUGAUAGGUCGGGUGUGUAAGCGCAGCGAUGCGUUGAGCUAACCGAUACUAAUGAACCGUGAGGCUUAACCUUACAACGCCGAAGGUGUUU